rnacentral:rRNA from 1 species
CCUACGGGAGGCAGCAGUGAGGAAUAUUGGUCAAUGGACGAGAGUCUGAACCAGCCAAGUAGCGUGAAGGAUGACUGCCCUAUGGGUUGUAAACUUCUUUUAUAUGGGAAUAAAAUGUUCCACGUGUGGGAUUUUGUAUGUACCAUAUGAAUAAGGAUCGGCUGACUCCGUGCCAGCAGCCGCGGUAAUACGGAGGAUCCGAGCGUUAUCCGGAUUUAUUGGGUUUAAAGGGAGCGUAGGUGGAUUGUUAAGUCAGUUGUGAAAGUUUGCGGCUCAACCGUAAAAUUGCAGUUGAAACUGGCAGUCUUGAGUACAGUAGAGGUGGGCGGAAUUCGUGGUGUAGCGGUGAAAUGCUUAGAUAUCACGAAGAACUCCGAUUGCGAAGGCAGUUCACUGGACUGCAACUGACACUGAGGCUCGAAAGUGUGGGUAUCAAACAGGAUUAGAUACCCGAGUAGUC